UACGUAGGAGACGAGCGUUGUCCGGAAUUACUGGGCGUAAAGCGCGUGUAGGCGGUUGGGAAAGUCUGUUGUGAAAGCUCCUGGCUUAACCGGGAGUGGUCGGUGGAAACUGCUCGUCUGGAGGACGGUAGAGGUAGGUAGAAUUCCCGGUGUAGUGGUGAAAUGCGUAGAGAUCGGGAGGAAUACCUGUGGCGAAGGCGGCCUACUGGGCCGGACCUGACGCUGAGACGCGAAGGCGUGGGGAGCGAACGGG
rnacentral:rRNA from 1 species